GGUCAUCGAUCUGUUGGAAUAGAUCGUUUAAGCCGGUAGGUGGAGCACUUAGGCAAAUCCGGGUGCUCAACACCGAGAAGUGAUGACGAGUGUCUACGGACACGAAGUGACUGAUACCACGCUUCCAGGAAAAGCCACUAAGCUUCAGUUUGAAUGAAACCGUACCGCAAACCGACACAGGUGGGUAGGAUGAGAAUUCUAAGGCGCUUGAGAGAACUCAGGAGAAGGAACUCGGCAAAUUGAUACCGUAACUUCGGGAGAAGGUAUGCCUCUUAUGGUGAAGGAUUAACUCUGUAAGCUAUGAGAGGUCGCAGAGAAUAGGUGGCUGCGACUGUUUAAUAAAAACACAGCACUCUGCAAACACGAAAGUGGACGUAUAGGGUGUGACGCCUGCCCGGUGCUGGAAGGUUAAUUGAAGAUGUGCAAGCAUCGGAUCGAAGCCCCAGUAAACGGCGGCCGUAACUAUAACGGUCCUAAGGUAGCGAAAUUCCUUGUCGGGUAAGUUCCGACCCGCACGAAUGGCGUAACGAUGGCCACACUGUCUCCUCCUGAGACUCAGCGAAGUUGAAAUGGUUGUGAAGAUGCAAUCUCCCCGCUGCUAGACGGAAAGACCCCGUGAACCUUUACUGUAGCUUUGCAUUGGACUUUGAAGUCACUUGUGUAGGAUAGGUGGGAGGCUAAGAAGCAGGAACGCUAGUUCUUGUGGAGCCGUCCUUGAAAUACCACCCUGGUGACUUUGAGGUUCUAACCCGGAUCCAUAAUCUGGAUCGGGGACCGUGCAUGGUAGGCAGUUUGACUGGGGCGGUCUCCUCCCAAAGAGUAACGGAGGAGUUCGAAGGUUACCUAGGUCCGGUCGGAAAUCGGACUGAUAGUACAAUGGCACAAGGUAGCUUAACUGCGAGACCGACAAGUCGAGCAGGUGCGAAAGCAGGACAUAGUGAUCCGGUGGUUCUGAAUGGAAGGGCCAUCGCUCAACGGAUAAAAGGUACUCCGGGGAUAACAGGCUGAUUCCGCCCAAGAGUUCAUAUCGACGGCGGAGUUUGGCACCUCGAUGUCGGCUCAUCACAUCCUGGGGCUGUAGUCGGUCCCAAGGGUAUGGCUGUUCGCCAUUUAAAGUGGUACGUGAGCUGGGUUUAAAACGU
rnacentral:rRNA from 1 species